UGGGGAAUUUUGGACAAUGGGCGCAAGCCUGAUCCAGCAAUGCCGCGUGCAGGAUGAAGGCCUUCGGGUUGUAAACUGCUUUUGUACGGAACGAAAAGGCUCUGGUUAAUACCUGGGGCUCAUGACGAUACCGUAAGAAUAAGCACCGGCUAACUACGUGCCAGCAGCCGCGGUAAUACGUAGGGUGCAAGCGUUAAUCGGAAUUACUGGGCGUAAAGCGUGCGCAGGCGGUUAUAUAAGUCAGAUGUGAAAUCCCCGGGCUCAACCUGGGACCUGCAUUUGAGACUGUAUAGCUAGAGUACGGUAGAGGGGGAUGGAAUUCCGCGUGUAGCAGUGAAAUACGUAGAUAUGCGGAGGAACACCGAUGGCGAAGGCAAUCCCCUGGACCUGUACUGACGCUCAUGCACGAAAGCGUGGGGAGCAAACA
rnacentral:rRNA from 1 species